rnacentral:tRNA from 1 species
GAGGCCGUAGCUCAGUGGCAGAGCGCCCGGUUCGCCGGGAGGUCGGGGGUUCGAUUCCCUUGGGCUUCUCCA